rnacentral:rRNA from 1 species
UACGGGGGGGAGCAAGCGUUGUUCGGAUUUACUGGGCGUAAAGGGCUUGUAGGCGGCCAACUAAGUCCGACGUGAAAUCCCCAGGCUUAACCUGGGAACUGCGUCGGAUACUGGAUGGCUUGAAUUCGGGAGAGGGAUGCAGAAUUCCAGGUGUAGCGGUGAAAAUGCGUAGAUAUCUGGAGGGAUACCGGUGGCGAAGGCGGCAUCCUGGACCGACAUUGACGCUGAGGAGCGAAAGCCAGGGGAGCAAACGGG